rnacentral:rRNA from 1 species
UGGAGGAAAAGSUAGGGGAUCGCAAGACCUAUGCGCUCUUGGAGCGGCCGAUGUCUGAUUAGCUAGUUGGUGAGGUAAAGGCUUACCAAGGCGACGAUCAGUAGCUGGUCUGAGAGGACGACCAGCCACACUGGGACUGAGACACGGCCCAGACUCCUACGGGAGGCAGCAGUGGGGAAUUUUGGACAAUGGGGGAAACCCUGAUCCAGCCAUGCCGCGUGAGUGAAGAAGGCCUUCGGGUUGUAAAGCUCUUUCAGCCGGAACGAAACGGUCACGGCUAAUACCUGUGACUACUGACGGUACCGGAAGAAGAAGCACCGGCUAACUACGUGCCAGCAGCCGCGGUAAUACGUAGGGUGCAAGCGUUAAUCGGAAUUACUGGGCGUAAAGCGUGCGCAGGCGGUUUUGUAAGUCAGAUGUGAAAUCCCCGGGCUUAACCUGGGAACUGCGUUUGAAACUACCAAAAGCUAGA